UUGUCUUCCGGCUUCAAACAUCACUGUUUAGUUAUGAUCAGACAGUAUCAGCCUCUGUAAUAUUUUUUUCUUUUUUAAUUUAAUUGCUGUGGUGGAUGCUGACAUGGAAGAUAGUGAAAAGAAAGCCCCAUCAGUAAUCGAUCGUUAUUUCACCCGCUGGUAUAAAACUGAUCUGAAAGGAAAAGCAUGUGAGGAUCACUGCAUUCUACAGCACUCCAACAGGAUAUGCGUCAUCACACUUGCAGAGUCUCAUCCUAUCCUUCAGAAUGGACGAAAAAUCAAAAACAUAAACUAUCAGAUCAGCGAUGGAUGCAGCCGUCUGAAGAACAAGGUGUCUGGAAAGUCAAAGCGAGGUGGUCAGUUCCUGACAGAGUUUGCACCACUGUGUAGAAUAACGUGUACAGAUGAACAGGAAUACACCAUAUUCAGCUGUAUCAGAGGACGUCUCCUAGAAGUGAAUGAAGCCAUUUUGAACAAGCCAGAUCUGUUAUUGGAAAAGCCUUCCACAGAGGGAUACAUUGCAGUUAUAUUACCUAAAUUUGAAGAGAGUAAGAGUGUCACUGAAGGCCUUCUGACCAGAGAACGAUAUGAGGAGGUUCUGACAAAAAGAAACCAACAAGAAGAGCCUUGCUGAGAUCAACUUGCACUUUGAAACUGCUGAGUCUGCUUUGAAGAAUAAUUACUUCAAGCAGGUGGAAACGUCAAUGGCAUCAUGAAUGUGUGCCACUUGCAUUUCAAAAAACACCUUGAGAAAAUCUGAAGGAAUGAAGACUUGUCUGCUGGAUCCAGAGCAGUCUUGGAUUUCACUGGAGUGCAUUUUGUUGGACCACUAUUCAUGAGAUACAUAACGAUGCCAGUGUCAUGGGUAUUGUUUAGUGUUUAGUUUAUAGUUUCAUUAAGAACUGGUUUAAUUUGAGAAGUAACAGGUCUGUGUCCUCACAGACACAUUAUUUCCCUUCUGGUUACUAUAAAACUGCUUAUGGCCCUAACUUUUUGGAGAUCAUUAUUGUUUAAGUUAAUGCUAAAUAAAGGAACUGCUCCCUUCUGAGUGUAUUCAACUGGCUCUUAUAUGUUUGUUUUUAUUCAGCCAAUUUCUUUUACACAAACUAAGGUCAGUGCUCUCAAAACAAUUAACAGCAAUCUCAACAUUGUCACUUUUCCCAGACAGAUUGUUCAGAUAAAAAUGUACAUACAUUUACAAAACAUUUCAUAACAAAAACCUCAUGGACCUGAAACUUACAUACACAGUGGUGUAUGUAAACUUGUAUUUUCAAUAUAGUUGAACGUAUAACCAACAGAGAAUUUCAAUAGUUUUGAUGUUAG